CUUCCGUGCCACUUAACGUCCAAGACCUAACCUGAGGGAAGAUGUUGUUCCCCAGAGAAAGUUCAGGGCGUUCACCAGGCAUCUAGUGUGUGCAGGACAUGGGCUGUGUCUUGCAGAAUCAAUGGACAAGAAAAACUUCGAAUGGCCUCUGAACCUCCGGUCUGGCCAGUUGCUGCCACGGCAUCAUCACUCUGUCUCCCGAUCCGUCUCCACAGCGAGAGCCCCUGCAAGAGCAGAGAUCUCACCCAUUCCUCUGGAGGCCUCGUGCCUGACCCAGGGUCCUGCAUAUAGGACCACUCCAUUCAUUGUAAUGGAUGAGCAAAUGAAUGUUUCUCGAUAAUAAUGGACAUAAUAAAGAGGAUUGCCAUCUA